rnacentral:rRNA from 1 species
GGAUGAGUGGCGAACGGGUGAGUAACACGUGGAAAAUCUGCCUAGGAGUGGGGGAUAACAUUCGAAAACGGAUGCUAAUACCGCAUAUCUUUUUGAACCGCAUGGUUCUUAAACGAAAGACGGCUUCGGCUGUCGCUCUUAGAUGAUCCCGCGGCGUAUUAGUUAGUUGGUGGGGUAAAGGCCUACCAAGACCAUGAUACGUAGCCGACCUGAGAGGGUGAUCGGCCACACUGGGACUGAGACACGGCCCAGACUCCUACGGGAGGCAGCAGUAGGGAAUCUUCCACAAUGGGUGAAAACCUGAUGGAGCAAUGCCGCGUGAAUGAAGAAGGUCUUCGGAUCGUAAAGUUCUGUUAUUAGAGAAGAACAAGUCAAGGAGUAACUGUCUCGAUUUUGACGGUAACUAACCAGAAAGUCACGGCUAACUACGUGCCAGCAGCCGCGGUAAUACGUAGGUGACAAGCGUUGUCCGGAAUUAUUGGGCGUAAAGGGAGCGCAGGCGGUUGGAAUAGUCUGAUGUGAAAGCCCACGGCUUAACCGUGGAAGGUCAUUGGAAACUGUCCAACUUGAAUGCAGAAGAGGUAAGUGGAAUUCCAUGUGUAGCGGUGAAAUGCGUAGAUAUAUGGAGGAACACCAGUGGCGAAGGCGACUUACUGGUCUGUGAUUGACGCUGAGGCUCGAAAGCGUGGGUAGCGAACAGGAUUAGAUACCCUGGUAGUCCACGCCGUAAACGAUGAGUGCUAAGUGUUGGAGGGUUUCCGCCCUUCAGUGCUGGAGUUAACGCA